CGUGGAGACAGGUGGUGCAUGGCUGUCGUCAGCUCGUGUCGUGAGAUGUUGGGUUAAGUCCCGCAACGAGCGCAACCCUCACCCCUAGUUGCCACCGGGUAAAGCCGAGCACUCGAGGGGAACUGCCAGCGUCAAGCUGGAGGAAGGCGGGGAUGACGUCAAGUCAUCAUGCCCCUUACGCCCUGGGCUACACACGUGCUACAAUGGCCAGUACAAAGGGACGCGAGACCGCGAGGUGGAGCUAAUCCCAAAAAACUGGCCUAAGUUCAGAUUGCAGUCUGCAACUCGACUGCAUGAAGGAGGAAUCGCUAGUAAUCGCGCAUCAGCCCGGCGCGGUGAAUACGUUCCCGGGCCUUGUACACACCGCCCGUCACACCACGAAAGCUGUCUGUACUCGAAGUCGCUGAG
rnacentral:rRNA from 1 species